rnacentral:lncRNA from 1 species
UUCUUAAAAAUAAAUAUAGAUAGAUAGAUAGAUAUGUUUAUUGUUUCUAAUGAAAAAUCAUAUAACAAGAGGUUGAGUACAAAUCAUUACACAUAAAUAGUCGACGCUUAAUGGAGAUUUAGUUACAAUUAUUCAUUUAAUAUAAAUGAACGCAAUUUGAGUGCAUUAAUAAAAAAUGUACACAGUUCCUUAAUCUCAGUGGGAGAAUGGGUUGUAUUUAAAAACAGAAAAAAGCUCUCGGUAUUCUCUACAAAUGAUCGAAUA